rnacentral:lncRNA from 1 species
CUAGACUUCAAUCCCCAGAAGUCUUUGGUAUUUCCCAGAAUUCCCUAUAAUCUCUUCUGAGUCUCCACGUUGGUGAGAUCACGUUAUUGGUAUUUAACUGGCAGUAAUGCCUCCCACACUUCCUUCCUUUGCAAUGAUGUAGUAAGUAUGGUGGCCAGGGUUCUAGCCAGUAGACAUCUUAAAAAGUAAAUACCAGUGGAUUCCAGAGUAUGAACAACAACCAAGAGACAUGUGAAAUCAAUAUCAUCAACUAAGAGGAAGGAAUCUCUUUUCUAUCCAGUUAGUAAUACCUGAUCUGAAGACUUAUUGGAAGAUGGUAGAAGAUAGAACUCAUUUUCUCAGAGGAACAAUACUGAAAGCAAAGAAAUAUUUAAAAGGAGCUUAGAGAGAUGAAAGCCAAGCAGAAAAGAAAAAAAUUAGUUCCUGAGAAUGGAGCUAACCUUCAGCAAAAUUGUUGUCAGUAAAGUUUGUUUUUGGGGUCUCAUCUUCUGUUAGGGAACCAUGGCCUUUCUACUUGAGAGCUGAUGUGAGAACCCUUAAAAAUACAAAUACAUAUGCUCAAUAAAUCAAUCAACAAAUGCUAAUUAAAGGCCCA